rnacentral:rRNA from 1 species
GACGAACGCUGGCGGCGUGCCUAAUACAUGCAAGUAGAACGCAGUUGCGAACGGGUGAGUAACGCGUAGGUAACUGCCUGGUAGCGGGGGAUAACUAUUGGAAACGAUAGCUAAUACCGCAUACUACCAGAAUGACCUGCGUUGUAUUAGAGAGUUGGUGGGGUAACGGCUCACCAAGGCAACGAUACAGAGCCGACCUGAGCGGGUGCUCGGCAAUACUGUGACUGAGACACGGCCCAGACUCCUACGGGAGGAAGCAGUAGGGAAUCUUCGGCAAUGGGGGGAACCCUGCCCGAGCAACGCCGCGUGAGUGAAGAAGGUUUUUGGAUCGUAAAGCUCUGUUGUUAAGGAAGCGGUACUUAACCAGAAAGGGACGGCUAACUACGUGCCAGCAGCCGCGGUAAUUC